UACGUAGGGUGCAAGCGUUGUCCGGAAUUAUUGGGCGUAAAGAGCUCGUAGGCGGUUCGUCGCGUCGGCUGUGAAAACCCGGAGCUCAACUCCGGGCCUGCAGUCGAUACGGGCGGACUAGAGUUCGGCAGGGGAGACUGGAAUUCCUGGUGUAGCGGUGAAAUGCGCAGAUAUCAGGAGGAACACCGGUGGCGAAGGCGGGUCUCUGGGCCGAUACCGACGCUGAGGAGCGAAAGCGUGGGGAGCGAACAGG
rnacentral:rRNA from 1 species